rnacentral:snoRNA from 1 species
CCCGCCACUAUGCCAGUCUACAGUGACCGAGUAUAAUCCAGUGGAGGCUCAGAGAAACCCGGCUUUAGGAAACAGGGCGGUCCACAACAAUGGUCAACUCUGUGCCGUAAAGUUUGGAACAACU